AGCUUUGCGCAGUGACAGUAUUGUGGCCAAUGAGGUUUAUCCAAGGCGCGAUUUUUGCUAAUUAAAAAAUCUCAGCACAGUGUCUGACAUUUGUAACUGCUUAAUGAGUGAUACUUUUUAAUAUUACUACUACUA
ensembl:snRNA U4 U4 spliceosomal RNA